rnacentral:lncRNA from 1 species
UAGAAGGUUGGGAUUGAGUUUUCUUUGGAAGAGGAGGGAGAGUGGUGGUUUCGACACCCUGUUGUUAAUUUGGUUGGAAAGGGGCAACUGUGGCCUUAUUUUUCUUCUGUUUCUUCUUGAGUGGAGUAGGAGGAGUAUCCUCUUCAUCAUCUUCGACAAGAAUGACAUUAGCAGGAGGAGUUUUUCUUUUCUUGGGUGUCAAGGGAGGCUUGCC